GAUGAACGAACGCUGGCGGCGUGCCUAACACAUGCAAGUCGAACGGUAAACAGGGACUUCGGUCCGCUGACGAGUGGCGCACGGGUGAGUAACGCGUGGAAUACCUGCCUAUCAGUGUGGAACAACCUGGAGAAAUCCAAGCUAAUACCGCAUACGACCUUCGGGUGAAAGAGGGGGAUCUUCGGACCUCUCGCUGAUGGAUGGUUCCGCGUCUGAUUAGCUAGUUGGUAAGGUAACGGCUUACCAAGGCGAUGAUCAGUAACUGGUCUGAGAGGAUGAUCAGUCACACUGGAACUGAGACACGGUCCAGACUCCUACGGGAGGCAGCAGUGGGGAAUUUUGCACAAUGGGCGAAAGCCUGAUGCAGCGACGCCGCGUGCGGGAAGAAGGCCUUCGGGUUGUAAACCGCUUUCAACAGGGAAGAAGGAAUGAGGGUUAAUACCCCUCUGCCUUGACGGUACCUGUAGAAGAAGCCCCGGCUAAUUUCGUGCCAGCAGCCGCGGUAAUACGAAAGGGGCAAGCGUUGUUCGGAUUUACUGGGCGUAAAGAGAUCGUAGGUGGCUUGUUAAGUCGGAUGUGAAAUCCCGGGGCUCAACCCCGGAACUGCAUUCGAUACUGGCAGGCUUGAGUUCGGGAGGGGUAAGCGGAAUUCCGUGUGUAGCAGUGAAAUGCGUAGAUAUACGGAGGAACACCUGAGGCGAAGGCGGCUUACUGGACCGAUACUGACACUGAGGAUCGAAAGCGUGGGUAGCAAACAGGAUUAGAUACCCUGGUAGUCCACGCCCUAAACGAUGUCUACUAGCCGUUGCGGGUAUCGACCCCUGCAGUGGCGCAGCUAACGCAAUAAGUAGACCGCCUGGGGAGUACGGCCGCAAGCUAACUA
rnacentral:rRNA from 1 species